rnacentral:rRNA from 1 species
UGGUAAUGCCGGAUGCUCCGGUUGGAUGCAUGUCCUUCCGGGAAAGGUUCCAUCGGUAUGGGAUGGGGUCGCGUCCUAUCAGCUUGAUGGCGGGGUAACGGCCCACCAUGGCUUCGACGGGUAGCCGGCCUGAGAGGGCGACCGGCCACAUUGGGACUGAGAUACGGCCCAGACUCCUACGGGAGGCAGCAGUGGGGAAUAUUGCACAAUGGGCGCAAGCCUGAUGCAGCGACGCCGCGUGCGGGAUGGAGGCCUUCGGGUUGUAAACCGCUUUUGAUCGGGAGCAAGCCCUUCGGGGUGAGUGUACCUUUCGAAUAAGCACCGGCUAACUACGUGCCAGCAGCCGCGGUAAUACGUAGGGUGCAAGCGUUAUCCGGAAUUAUUGGGCGUAAAGGGCUCGUAGGCGGUUCGUCGCGUCCGGUGUGAAAGCCCAUCGCUUAACGGUGGGUCUGCGCCGGGUACGGGCGGGCUGGAGUGCGGUAGGGGAGACUGGAAUUCCCGGUGUAACGGUGGAAUGUGUAGAUAUCGGGAAAGAACACCA